AUGGGUCGGACCCAUGACAUUCUAUCUGGUCACAGCAACCAAACACACCCCAAGUCGCCCAACACGGACGGCCUCAACCCAGACUCGUGCUCCCAAGUGCGCAUCGAGGACUGCUACGUCGUCUCCGGCGACGACUGCAUGGCCAUCAAGAGCGGCUGGGACGAGUACGGCAUAGCGGUCGACAUGCCCAGCGAGCACAUCGUGAUGCGCCGCCUCACCCGUGUCUCCCCCACCAAUGCGGCGAUCACGCUCGGCAGCGAGAUGUCGGGGGGCAUCCAGGACGUGCGCGCCGAGGACAUCACCGCCAUCGGGACUGAGUCAGCGGUGCAGAUCAAGACGGCGGUCGGGCGCGGCACGUACGUGCGCGACGUGUACGCGCGGAGGAUGAGGCUCAACGGCAUGAAGCGCGUCUUCUGGAUGACCGGCGACUACAAGUCCCACCCCGACGAUGACUAUGACAAGACCGAUGUGCCCGUCGUGGAGAACAUCAGCUACCAGGACGUGGUGGCCACUGGUGUCUGGAAGGAGGCCGCCAGGAUGCAGGGCAUCCAGAGCGCGCCCUUCAAGGGCAUCUGCAUGGCCAACGUCACCGCCGAGAUGAUCAAGGAGAGGAAGGUGUCGUGGAACUGCGCCAACGUCGAGGGUGUCUCGGCCGGCGUCACCCCGGCGCCAUGCACGCCGCUUCAAGGCACCCACGCCGGCUCCUGCCCGUUCCCCACUGACACGCUCACCAUCGACCAGAUCACCGUGCAACAGUGCUCAUACUCAGUCGCAUCUGCUACUACUUCAAUGGCUGGGACAGAGUAG
rnacentral:rRNA from 1 species